rnacentral:rRNA from 1 species
UACGUAGGGGGCGAGCGUUGUCCGGAUUCAUUGGGCGUAAAGCGCUUUAAGGCGGUUCGCUAAGUCGGGUGUGAAACCUCCAGGCUCAACCUGGAGACGCCACUCGAUACUGGCGUGACUAGAGUUCGGUAGGGGAUCACGGAAUUCCUGGUGUAGCGGUGAAAUGCGCAGAUAUCAGGAGGAACACCAAUGGCGAAGGCAGCUCGCUGGGACGGUACUGACACUGAGACGCGAAAGCGUGGGGAGCAAACAGG